rnacentral:rRNA from 1 species
UUUUAUAAGAAAUAAUUUAUAAUAAAAUCUGCUCAAUGAAAAUUAAAUAGCCGCAAUUUGUGCUAAGGUAGCAUAAUCAUUUGUCUUUUAAAUAAAGACCAGAACAAAAGAUUUAACAUCUCGUCAAAUCUCCUUAUUUUAAAAACUUUUAAUUUUUAUUAAAUGUAAAAAUACACUUAUAAAAAAGAAAGACGAUAAGACCCUUUUGAACUUAACUUUAGUUAAACUGGGGCAGUUAAUUAAUUAUUAUUUUAAUAACUUUAUUAAAAUCAAAAUCUAUUAAAAAUAAUAAUUCAGUUACCAUAGGGAUAACAGCAUAAUUAUAUUUAAAAGCUCUUAUACAAAAUAUAACUUAUGACCUCGAUGUUGAAUAAUUACCUAACUAAAGCAAAAUUUAAUAAAGGAGGUCUGUUCGACCUUUAAAAAAUCACA